GACAGAGGGUGCAAACGUUGCUCGGAAUCACUGGGCGUAAAGGGCGUGUAGGCGGGAAGGAAAGUCAGAUGUGAAAUCCCUGGGCUCAACCCAGGAACUGCAUUUGAAACUCCCUUUCUUGAGUGCUGGAGAGGAAAGCGGAAUUCCUGGUGUAGCGGUGAAAUGCGUAGAUAUCUGGAGGAACACCGGUGGCGAAGGCGGCGUUCUGGACUGCAACUGACACUGAGGAACGAAAGCCAGGGGAGCAAACGGG
rnacentral:rRNA from 1 species